rnacentral:rRNA from 1 species
UACGUAGGGUGCAAGCGUUGUCCGGAAUUAUUGGGCGUAAAGAGCUCGUAGGCGGUUUGUCGCGUCGAAUGUGAAACCCGGGGCUCAACUCCGGGCCUGCAUUCGAUACGGGCAGACUAGAGUUCGGUAGGGGAGACUGGAAUUCCUGGUGUAGCGGUGAAAUGCGUAGAUAUCCGGAGGAACACCGGUGGCGAAGGCGGCUUCCUGGACCGAGCAC